CACUGUCCCUGCGUUACCGGCCCCGACCUCUGUGGGUGGUUGGUGCUGCAGCGUCCCUGGUGGGCAGUUUCGUCGUGUUUUGUUUUGUGAGUGUUUUAGUUUUAGUUCUUGGAUCAUUUUUGGAAUCUGCAUCAUAAUUUGGAGAUUAUACAUUAAAGCCUAAGAAGUUUAUCAUAUAAAAUAAAAAAAUCCUGGUUCAUUUAAGUUGAUUUCCCUCUCUGUCCCUCUUUAUCUUUUAUUUUAUUUAUUUUUAUUUUCCUAAAGCUGUUAGGAGUAAAACUAUUUAGAUUUUUCAAGGCAUUUUGAAGACUGAGUGGAAUGUUUGCAUGUUGUUCUUGUCUUCCUUCAGGAUGCCCUUUGUACCAAACACACACACACACACGGCACUUAGGGAAACACAGACCCGUUCC